AUUGAACGCUGGCGGCAGGCCUAACACAUGCAAGUCGGACGAGCGGCGGACGGGUGAGUAAUGUCUGGGGAACUGCCUGAUGGAGGGGGAUAACUACUGGAAACGGUAGCUAAUACCGCAUACCAUCGGAUGUGCCCAGAUGGGAUUAGCUUGUAGGUGGGGUAAAGGCUCACCUAGGCGACGAUCCCUAGCUGGUCUGAGAGGAUGACCAGCCACACUGGAACUGAGACACGGCCCAGACUCCUACGGGAGGCAGCAGUGGGGAAUAUUGCACAAUGGGCGCAAGCCUGAUGCAGCCAUGCCGCGUGUAUGAAGAAGGCCUUCGGGUUGUAAAGUACUUUCAGCGGGGAGGCGUUACCGACAGAAGAAGCACCGGCUAACUCCGUGCCAGCAGCCGCGGUAAUAC
rnacentral:rRNA from 1 species